rnacentral:rRNA from 1 species
UACGAAGGGGGCUAGCGUUGUUCGGAAUUACUGGGCGUAAAGGGCUCGUAGGCGGUCUGUUGCGUCGGGAGUGAAAACUCAGGGCUUAACCCUGAGCCUGCUUCCGAUACGGGCAGACUAGAGGUAUGCAGGGGAGAACGGAAUUCCUGGUGUAGCGGUGAAAUGCGCAGAUAUCAGGAGGAACACCGGUGGCGAAGGCGGUUCUCUGGGCAUUACCUGACGCUGAGGAGCGAAAGUGUGGGGAGCAAACAGG